rnacentral:rRNA from 1 species
UCUGGUUGAUCCUGCCAGUAGUCAUUUGCUUGUCUCAAAGAUUAAGCCAUGCAUGUCUAAGUAUAAAUAGUAUACAGUGAAACUGCCAAUGGCUCAUUAAAACAGUUAUAGUUUAUUUGAUAAUUGACAAUUACAUGGAUAACCGUGGUAAUUCUAGAGCUAAUACAUGCUUAAACGCCCGACUUUAUGGAAGGGUGGUAUUUAUUAGACUGUAGCCAAUAUUCCUUGUGUCUAUUGCGGUGAUUCAUAAUAACUGAUCGAAUCUCUUUUUGAGAUAAAUCAUUCAAGUUUCUGCCCUAUCAGCUUUCGAUGGUAGUGUAUUGGACUACCAUGGCAGUAACGGGUAACGAAGAAUUAGGGUUCGAUUUCGGAGAGGGAGCAUGAGAAACGGCUACCACAUCUAAGGAAGGCAGCAGGCGCGUAAAUUACCCAAUCCUGACUCAGGGAGGUAGUGACAAGAAAUAGCAAACCGGGAACCUCAUGGUUUCACGGUAUUGCAAUGAGAACAAUUUAAAACCCUUAGCGAGAAUCAAGUGGAGGACAAGUCUGGUGCCAGCACCCGCGGUAAUUCCAGCUCCACUAGCGUAUAUUAAAGUUGUUGCAGUUAAAAGGCUCGUAGUUGAACCUCUGUCUGGGGCUAGUUUUGGCUUUGGUCAGGCUAGUUCUAGGCAUCCGCCUACAAGACUUAGAGGGCAUUCAGUUGUUCACUAGGAGGAGUAGGCAUUUUACUUUGAAAAAAUUAGAGUGUUUAAGGCAGGCAAUCGCCCGCAUAUAUUAGCAUGGAAUAAUAGAAUAGGACACUUUUCCAUUUCGUUGGUUAUUGGAAUCGUGUAGUGAUUAAUAGGGACAGUUGUGGGCAUUUGUAUUUAAUUGUCAGAGGUGAAAUUCUUGGAUUUAUUAAAGACAAACUAACGCGAAAGCAUUUGCCAAGGAUGUUUUCAUUAAUCAAGAACGAAAGUUAGGGGAUCAAAGACGAUCAGAUACCGUCCUAGUCUUAACUAUAAACUAUUCCGACUCAAUGUUUGACUGGCUUAUAUAACCAGUUGAGCGUUGUAUGAGAAAUCAAAGUCUUUAGGUUCUGGGGGGAGUAUGGUUGCAAAGCUGAAACUUAAAGGAAUUGACGGAAGAGCACAACCAGGAGUGGAUUCUGCGGCUUAAUUUGACUCAACACGGGGAAACUUACCAGGUUAAAACAAUAGUGGGAUUGACAGUUUGAGAGCGCUUUCUUGAUUGGUUGGGUGGUGGUGCAUGGCC